rnacentral:rRNA from 1 species
UGGGGAAUCUUCCGCAAUGGACGAAAGUCUGACGGAGCAACGCCGCGUGAGUGAAGACGGCCUUCGGGUUGUAAAGCUCUGUGAUCCGGGACGAAAGAGCCUGAGGUGAAUAGCCUAAGGAAGUGACGGUACCGGAAAAGCAAGCCACGGCUAACUACGUGCCAGCAGCCGCGGUAAUACGUAGGUGGCAAGCGUUGUCCGGAAUUAUUGGGCGUAAAGCGCGCGCAGGCGGCUUCCUAAGUCCAUCUUAAAAGUGCGGGGCUUAACCCCGUGAUGGGAUGGAAACUGGGAAGCUGGAGUAUCGGAGAGGAAAGUGGAAUUCCUAGUGGAGCGGUGAAAUGCGUAGAGAUUAGGAAGAACACCGGUGGCGAAGGCGACUUUCUGGACGAAAACUGACGCUGAGGCGCGAAAGCGUGGGGAGCAAACAGG